UUAAGCGACUAAGCGUACACGGUGGAUGCCCUGGCAGUCAGAGGCGAUGAAGGACGUGCUAAUCUGCGAUAAGCGUCGGUAAGGUGAUAUGAACCGUUAUAACCGGCGAUUUCCGAAUGGGGAAACCCAGUGUGAUUCGUCACACUAUCAUUAACUGAAUCCAUAGGUUAAUGAGGCGAACCGGGGGAACUGAAACAUCUAAGUACCCCGAGGAAAAGAAAUCAACCGAGAUUCCCCCAGUAGCGGCGAGCGAACGGGGAGCAGCCCAGAGCCUGAAUCAGUGUGUGUGUUAGUGGAAGCGUCUGGAAAGGCGCGCGAUACAGGGUGACAGCCCCGUACACAAAAAUGCACAUACUGUGAGCUCGAUGAGUAGGGCGGGACACGUGGUAUCCUGUCUGAAUAUGGGGGGACCAUCCUCCAAGGCUAAAUACUCCUGACUGACCGAUAGUGAACCAGUACCGUGAGGGAAAGGCGAAAAGAACCCCGGCGAGGGGAGUGAAAAAGAACCUGAAACCGUGUACGUACAAGCAGUGGGAGCACAGAGCAAUCUGUGUGACUGCGUACCUUUUGUAUAAUGGGUCAGCGACUUAUAUUCUGUAGCAAGGUUAACCGAAUAGGGGAGCCGAAGGGAAACCGNGCUUAGGCGUGUGACUGCGUACCUUUUGUAUAAUGGGUCAGCGACUUAUAUUCUGUAGCAAGGUUAACCGAAUAGGGGAGCCGAAGGGAAACCGAGUCUUAACUGGGCGUUAAGUUGCAGGGUAUAGACCCGAAACCCGGUGAUCUAGCCAUGGGCAGGUUGAAGGUUGGGUAACACUAACUGGAGGACCGAACCGACUAAUGUUGAAAAAUUAGCGGAUGACUUGUGGCUGGGGGUGAAAGGCCAAUCAAACCGGGAGAUAGCUGGUUCUCCCCGAAAGCUAUUUAGGUAGCGCCUCGUGAAUUCAUCUCCGGGGGUAGAGCACUGUUUCGGCAAGGGGGUCAUCCCGACUUACCAACCCGAUGCAAACUGCGAAUACCGGAGAAUGUUAUCACGGGAGACACACGGCGGGUGCUAACGUCCGUCGUGAAGAGGGAAACAACCCAGACCGCCAGCUAAGGUCCCAAAGUCAUGGUUAAGUGGGAAACGAUGUGGGAAGGCCCAGACAGCCAGGAUGUUGGCUUAGAAGCAGCCAUCAUUUAAAGAAAGCGUAAUAGCUCACUGGUCGAGUCGGCCUGCGCGGAAGAUGUAACGGGGCUAAACCAUGCACCGAAGCUGCGGCAGCGACGCUUAUGCGUUGUUGGGUAGGGGAGCGUUCUGUAAGCCUGCGAAGGUGUGCUGUGAGGCAUGCUGGAGGUAUCAGAAGUGCGAAUGCUGACAUAAGUAACGAUAAAGCGGGUGAAAAGCCCGCUCGCCGGAAGACCAAGGGUUCCUGUCCAACGUUAAUCGGGGCAGGGUGAGUCGACCCCUAAGGCGAGGCCGAAAGGCGUAGUCGAUGGGAAACAGGUUAAUAUUCCUGUACUUGGUGUUACUGCGAAGGGGGGACGGAGAAGGCUAUGUUGGCCGGGCGACGGUUGUCCCGGUUUAAGCGUGUAGGCUGGUUUUCCAGGCAAAUCCGGAAAAUCAAGGCUGAGGCGUGAUGACGAGGCACUACGGUGCUGAAGCAACAAAUGCCCUGCUUCCAGGAAAAGCCUCUAAGCAUCAGGUAACAUCAAAUCGUACCCCAAACCGACACAGGUGGUCAGGUAGAGAAUACCAAGGCGCUUGAGAGAACUCGGGUGAAGGAACUAGGCAAAAUGGUGCCGUAACUUCGGGAGAAGGCACGCUGAUAUGUAGGUGAAGUCCCUCGCGGAUGGAGCUGAAAUCAGUCGAAGAUACCAGCUGGCUGCAACUGUUUAUUAAAAACACAGCACUGUGCAAACACGAAAGUGGACGUAUACGGUGUGACGCCUGCCCGGUGCCGGAAGGUUAAUUGAUGGGGUCAGCGCAAGCGAAGCUCUUGAUCGAAGCCCCGGUAAACGGCGGCCGUAACUAUAACGGUCCUAAGGUAGCGAAAUUCCUUGUCGGGUAAGUUCCGACCUGCACGAAUGGCGUAAUGAUGGCCAGGCUGUCUCCACCCGAGACUCAGUGAAAUUGAACUCGCUGUGAAGAUGCAGUGUACCCGCGGCAAGACGGAAAGACCCCGUGAACCUUUACUAUAGCUUGACACUGAACAUUGAGCCUUGAUGUGUAGGAUAGGUGGGAGGCUUUGAAGUGUGGACGCCAGUCUGCAUGGAGCCGACCUUGAAAUACCACCCUUUAAUGUUUGAUGUUCUAACGUGGACCCGUGAUCCGGGUUGCGGACAGUGUCUGGUGGGUAGUUUGACUGGGGCGGUCUCCUCCUAAAGAGUAACGGAGGAGCACGAAGGUUGGCUAAUCCUGGUCGGACAUCAGGAGGUUAGUGCAAUGGCAUAAGCCAGCUUGACUGCGAGCGUGACGGCGCGAGCAGGUGCGAAAGCAGGUCAUAGUGAUCCGGUGGUUCUGAAUGGAAGGGCCAUCGCUCAACGGAUAAAAGGUACUCCGGGGAUAACAGGCUGAUACCGCCCAAGAGUUCAUAUCGACGGCGGUGUUUGGCACCUCGAUGUCGGCUCAUCACAUCCUGGGGCUGAAGUAGGUCCCAAGGGUAUGGCUGUUCGCCAUUUAAAGUGGUACGCGAGCUGGGUUUAGAACGUCGUGAGACAGUUCGGUCCCUAUCUGCCGUGGGCGCUGGAGAACUGAGGGGGGCUGCUCCUAGUACGAGAGGACCGGAGUGGACGCAUCACUGGUGUUCGGGUUGUCAUGCCAAUGGCACUGCCCGGUAGCUAAAUGCGGAAGAGAUAAGUGCUGAAAGCAUCUAAGCACGAAACUUGCCCCGAGAUGAGUUCUCCCUGAC
rnacentral:rRNA from 1 species